rnacentral:misc_RNA from 1 species
AAGUCGUAACAAGGUCUCCGUAGGUGAACCUGCGGAGGGAUCGUUACCGAGUGCGGGCCUCCGUGCCCAACCUCCCAACCCUUUGUCGAUUCAUACCUGUUGCCUCGGGGGCGACCCGGACCCGCGCCGGGAGUCCCCCAGAGGUCCAACCCAACACACUGCGUCCUUGCGUCGAGUAUUGAAAACAAUCAAUCAAAA